ensembl:lncRNA
CUCUGAGUGUGCACUAAAAUUUCUGUGUAAUAAACCCUUCCCAAGCCUCUCACUGAUGUGUCCUGAAAAUCCUUUUUCUGCAAUGAGAGCCAGCAAAUCUUCAAGCCCAUUCUAUGUUAUGGUGGCUUAGGUUCCUUAUCUCAGCUUUGAGAACCUCCUCAGACCUGGUCCAGUAACAGGAGGACGGACGAAGGACGAGAGCAGGUGUCCAGGUGUCUUCCGCAGAUGCCAGUACCUUCAUUGGAGCAGGAAACCCAGGAGAAAGAGGCAAAGAAUCUAUAACUGCCAAGCCCCGUUACAGCUCGUGUUCUGCAUGAGAACUGGGCUCUGCCAGUCGGACCUAUCCAGAUUCAAGAGGCAGCAGUGAGACCACGCAUCUGCCGCUCGUUUUUCUGUGGGCCCUGAAACUGAGUGGAUUACACUUAUGCCUUCAGCCUCAGCCUGAAUAUACUUCGCUCUAAAAGGAUGACUGAAGAGAGAAGAACUAACCCAGGCC